GAUGAACGCUGGCGGCGUGCUUAACACAUGCAAGUCGAACGAAGCACUUUAUUUGAUUUCCUUCGGGACUGAUUAUUUUGUGACUGAGUGGCGGACGGGUGAGUAACGCGUGGGUAACCUGCCUUGUACAGGGGGAUAACAGUUGGAAACGGCUGCUAAUACCGCAUAAGCGCCCAGCAUCGCAUGAUGCAGUGUGAAAAACUCCGGUGGUAUAAGAUGGACCCGCGUUGGAUUAGCUGGUUGGUGAGGUAACGGCCCACCAAGGCGACGAUCCAUAGCCGACCUGAGAGGGUGACCGGCCACAUUGGGACUGAGACACGGCCCAAACUCCUACGGGAGGCAGCAGUGGGGAAUAUUGCACAAUGGGCGAAAGCCUGAUGCAGCGACGCCGCGUGAGCGAAGAAGUAUUUCGGUAUGUAAAGCUCUAUCAGCAGGGAAGAUAAUGACGGUACCUGACUAAGAAGCACCGGCUAACUACGUG
rnacentral:rRNA from 1 species